rnacentral:rRNA from 1 species
CAUUACUGAAGAUAAUAGGAUCUAGAGACUGCGUUUUCUGACGUGUGCUCGAUCCUUACUCUUUUAUCCACACACACCUUUGUGCACUAUGGGGAUGUCAAAGUCCCCCUUACAUUAAAAACACCAAGUUAAUUACGCAUGUCUAUACUACUCUAAGGAGUAAAAUGUACAACUUUCAACAACGGAUCUCUUGGCUUUCGCAUCGAUGAAGAACGCAGCGAACGUGCGAAACGUAAUGUGAAUUGCAGAAUUCAGUGAAUCAUCGAAUCUUUGAACGCAUCUUGCGCUCCUUGGUAUUCCGAGGAGCAUGCCUGUUUGAGUGUCGUGAAGUACUCUCAAUUUCAAACUUUUUUGUUUUGAAAUUGGAUUUGGGUGUUGUUGUGAUCUCAUAACUCAUCCUAAAUGCAUUAGCGAUCUGCCUUCGAUCACACGCAAUGUGAUAAGAAAAGAGCAUUGUUAUAAUCAAGUCAGGAUUGCUUCUAACCGUCUUUGCGGACAAUCUUCAUGUCGUUUGACCUCAGAUCAGGCAGGACUACCCGCUGAACUUAAGCAUAUCAAUA